rnacentral:rRNA from 1 species
UUCUUAGCAACCGGAUUUGGUCCUAGUCCUACACUUGGCCCCUUCUAAAGCGACACAUGCAAGCCUUUCGCAACACAGUGAGUAAUUCUUUCAAUAACCACCCUAAAAAGCACGGUUAUAAAUCAAGGUAUCAGAAAAUCCAACCCAUAUUCAAUGACACCUAGCCAACCACAUCUGCAGUGCCUAGUAUUAUACAAUAAGUUAAAGCUUGAUAUAGUUAUAGACUUAAGAGUCGGUAAAUUAUGUGCCAGCCACCGCGGUUAUACAUAAGACUCAAGCCAAGAAAUCUAUCGGUCUAAAGGUGACUAAAGAUAACUUCAUUUUAGGGUAGAAAAUAACUCUAGUAUUAAUAAGCUUUCACAGUAAACUAAUUACAACUGUAAUAUUACCCUAAACCUACACCCAACUUGAUGCACCAAAGCUCAAAAAUAAACUGGGAUUAGAUACCCCACUAUAUGAGCCUUAAAACCCCAAAAACACCAGAGAACUACGAAUCAAGGUUUAAAACUCAAAGGACUUGGCGGUUUUUUAGAUCUCCCUGGAGGAGCUUGCUAUCCAACCGAUAACCCACGAAAACCUUACCAGCA